AUUGAACGCUGGCGGCAUGCCUUACACAUGCAAGUCGAACGGCAGCACGGGUGCUUGCACCUGGUGGCGAGUGGCGAACGGGUGAGUAAUACAUCGGAACAUGUCCUGUAGUGGGGGAUAGCCCGGCGAAAGCCGGAUUAAUACCGCAUACGAUCUACGGAUGAAAGCGGGGGACCUUCGGGCCUCGCGCUAUAGGGUUGGCCGAUGGCUGAUUAGCUAGUUGGUGGGGUAAAGGCCUACCAAGGCGACGAUCAGUAGCUGGUCUGAGAGGACGACCAGCCACACUGGGACUGAGACACGGCCCAGACUCCUACGGGAGGCAGCAGUGGGGAAUUUUGGACAAUGGGCGAAAGCCUGAUCCAGCAAUGCCGCGUGUGUGAAGAAGGCCUUCGGGCUGUAAAGCACUUUUGUCCGGAAAGAAAUCCUUGGCCCUAAUACGGUCGGGGGAUGACGGUACCGGAAGAAUAAGCACCGGCUAACUACGU
rnacentral:rRNA from 1 species